AUUUCCUUCCAGAGUUUCAAGUCAUCAACUUGUCAUUUUCCUUCUGGGUCCCUUUUCCUGUAACUGUUAUCCAGGAGUGGGAAAAUAGCCCGGGGUCUUACCGACUUUCUGGAUCCGGACAAUGGCCCGUGCCCUGGCGCAGGACUCGAAUUGUGCUUUAGGUGCUGCCCCUAAAAUCUCGUCGCCCUCCGAUCACUGUCGCUUCUGCCGGGCAAGUCCAGGAUGCAACUGGACACAUGGAUGCUACCGAAUCCCAGUGUACAGUGGGAGAUACUGAGUAACUCGAAGAGGGACCUGCCAGGCUAUGUCUGUGACAAUGACAUGCCACUGUAACGCUUAUUCUAAGCAUCUCUUGGUUCAAGUUUGGACCCAUUGAAAUGUGUGCCGAUGACAUGGGCUUAACAACAUGAGGAAACAGUUAUGAUGCAUUAAGGAACUGAAACAGGACACAAAGCUGUCCCCAGAGGUCAUCAACUAUACCCAACAACCACAACAAAGGCUGGGCGGAAACACACCAAGAAGUAAAACCUGGCUGAGGGUGGGGGUGGGGAGAAGUUUUCAUUUUUGAUG